AACAGAGUUAAGGCAGAGACUGCCUGGCCCACAAAGUAGCAAAUAUUUAUUCUCUACUCAUUUAACAGAAAAAAAAAAAUGCUGGUCCCCAUUCUGGAACACCAACAAGAAUGGUAGGCACUGGAGAUUUGACAGUGAUAAGACAAAGUCCCUCUUCAACUAGAGCUGUGUUCUAGAAGCCUUACUAUGUACCAGGCAAUGCUUGGAAAACUAAAGAUUCUGCAAAGAACAAAGAAUCUUCCCUCGUGGAAUAUUCUAGAGGGUUCAUUAUGUGCCAUGCUUCAUGGGACAGAAGUUCUGGGACAGAAGUGAACCAGACUGACAAAAUGCUUACAUCCAUGGAUUUCCCAGUCUGAUCUGAAAUGAGGCAAUCAACAAAUAAACAAAACAAACUUUGGAUUAUAACAGAGCUAUGGAAAUGCAAGCAGGAGCUGAGAUGUCCUGGCAUGGGCUGCCAUUCAAUGUCUCCACAAUACUCUUCUUGCAGUUGUCUGAGAUACACAUGGAAGCCCUGAUGCGGGUGUGAUCCUGUGAAACUCCAUCUAGUUGGGUUGGGCUUUUGGUCCCAGGCUACUGAAAUGUGAAUGAGGACAGAGGCAGUGCUACCAACCUCAUUGUCCUCUCCAGCCUUGACCCCCAAGCCCUAGGGAGGCAGUGCCUACAGAUGUACAACACACCUUGUGUAUCCUUUUAUCCUUUCAAAAAAAGUACAGCCAGAUGGGCAUGGAUGUCUAACACUUUAAGAGAAUCUUUAGCGCUUUGUUUAACUAAAGUAUUUUUCCACACAAGUUCCUCUGCUCAAGCAUUUCUUCUAAUUACCAUUUUCCUUUUACAAUGCAUUGCAUAGAGCUGCACAGAAGUAAGCUCAUGGUGCGCAAGAACCCCCAGGGUGGCAAGGAAAAUAAGGCCUGGCUAUUAGAGGGCUCCAUGAAGCGCAACAUUGGCUAUGUGAGGGUCAAUAAAAUCUGAGACUACUGGAAACACAAAGAAGAUGAAGAUAGACACAACACAUCCAGGAAUGAGAUGCAGGAUAAGGCGGGGGAGAGGUGAAGGAUCACUUGCUUGCUGUUCAUUGAGAAGUCUGCAUGGGAAAGUGUUGGGCUGUGAGCUGGAUUGGAAGCAUGACACUCAUUCCUGAUGCACGGCUGAGUGGAGACGAGGCUGCAAGGAACACAAGAGCAUCCGUGAAAGUGAGCGCUCAGCAACAAAAUGUGCUGCCUGAUGAGAGAAGAGAAGGUGUAGAGGC